UCCAAUGGGUUGGCCAAUGACAUCCUUUCACCAAAAAGACACGCUUGCACUCAGGCUUAUUUACAUCUCUGCAGCUCCACAUCUGGGAAAGGAACUGCUAAACUUGAUUUCACAAGAACUCUCAUGGCUCCCUCAUGGCCCUCUAAACAUCCAUCACCAUCUCCACCACCUCCACUGCACCAUCCCCAUCCAAGCCACCAUCGUUGCUCAUCUGAACUGAGAAAGUUGCCAGAUGGAUGUCCCUACUCCCAUCUUGCCUACCUGCAACCCAUUCCCUCCACAGGAUCCAGGAUGAGGAAACUGAGGCUCAGCGGGGAUGAGCCAGGUUCACAGCCCAGCAGUAAGUCAUGGAGGUGACAGGCAACACCAGGAGUUGCCUCCAGAACUCCAUGGAAUAAAGAAUGCACACGCACACGACUGCUCUAUAAAUGCAAGAAGUCACUGUUUUCAUCUCUGCUCCCAAGGAGGGUGUGCAGGAUGCCAUAAUGGCUGGAGACAGAGGUGAGACCUGUUGAUGUUCCAGGUGAGCUGAGCCUCAGUGCGCCACCGUGACUCAGUGGCACAACUCAGUGGGCACCGAACCUGACUUUAUCAUCCAUCGGUUAUCUGUGUCGCCUGGAAGGAACUCCGGGCAAGGUCCAGGAAAAAGGUGCGGGUAUUGUUGGGGCUUCCUGCUGGCCAGCUCACUGGCCUAUUGUUGCCUUUAUUUUUUUAGACUAUCGCAUCACAAUUAUUUCGGCAACAUCCUUUUCCCAUCCUGGACCUGAUAUAAUAUUUAUUGACUUAUGCAAACUGCGUCAAU